GCGCCGGCAGCGGCGGGGGUCCCACCGCCUCACCCUCCCUUCUUCACCCCCCCCCGUUCCCAGUGGUCGCGCCCGGGCGGCGGGUCACGUGGCGGCGGGUGCUGUGUGUGACGUGGGGGCGCGGCGGGGCAGCGCGCGCGGCCGCGGGGCAGCGCGCGCGGCGCGGAGCGGAGCGGAGCGAAGCGGCGGCGACAACGACAGCGACAGCGACAACGGCGGCGACAAACGGGGGGUCCCUGGGUGGCAACAGCCGGGCGGUGCAAACACACAUCCCAACACCCCCCCCCCCUCCUCCCGUCACUCUCCGAAAGAGAAAAAGGAAGAGAUCUGAAACAAAAAACCCACCAAAAUGCGCCUUUUAAUUUUUUUUUUUAAUUUUUUAACGUUAUUAUUUAUUUUUGAUAUUUAAUUUGGCGGGGAGGGGGGGGGCUCACUUUCGCGUUUAAAAAGCAAGCCUCCCCCCUUAAGAAAAAAAAAAACAACCCAGCGAGCAAAGCCAGGAUCCUGCUGCAUUGCACUGGAUUUUUACGUUUUUAACAUUAUUUUUCCCUCAAUCAGCUUUUUUGUUCAAUAAUUUUUGCAAACAGCCGCGCUCGGCUUACGGCCUCCAGCAGGAUUUACUCUUGGGGAAAGAAGCUUUUUCCUUAAAGACCCCCCCAUAUACCUCCCUUUUUCCUUUUAAUCUUUAUUUUUUUAAAUCUAUUUUAUUUCUUUGCUGGGAUUCUCCAGACCUGAAAAAAAAGAAAACAAACCAAAUUAUUUCUUCCUCUUUUUUUCUUUUUUCUUUUUUAAAUCCGUUUUCUCUUUUCCUUUCCAGGACUCUGGAGUGGUGGGUUAAUUCUUUGUAGCUGUUAUUGUUAUUGUUGCAAAAUAGCCUGUAAGUCUGUAAAUAUUCUGCUUCUAUGGAAAUGUCGAAGUGUGCCGGGGAUGCUUAAUUAUGUUGGCUUUUCUGGAAGGGGUUUAAUUUCGGCGCUUUUCGCUUAUUACUGGGUAAAGGCCUUUGCUGGGAGGUGUGGGGCGGCAAAGGGAAUAAUGUAAAGCCUUUGCAAUCCGUAUGUCCGGUGGGUUUUGCUGGGGGGGUGCAGACGGAGGGGACCUGUCACCCCAGCCUUUCCCUGGUCCUCUAUGGAAAUAUAUCGCCCUGUAUGUAAAUCUGUGGAGAUUUCUGCCUCUCUGUCCUCCAGCCUUGCGUGUUUAUUUCCAGCGGGCCUGCUGAGAGGGUUUGUCUCGGGGUCGGGGGGUGGAUCAGCGGAUCACAAGUCUCAUUUUUCUUUCCCCGUCGGUUCUUUGGGCGCUCGGUGUGGUGGGGAGCAGGGGGUGGACACGCUCCGGGCAGCAAUGGCAUUCCUGGGCCGUUGCAAUUAAUAGAAAUUUAUUUACGAGAAUAACCACCGCAGGUCACAGUGCCCUCGGUCUACUAAUGCAAUUGCUCAGAGCUACUGAUUCAGCCACCACCGAGCCCCACGGAGCAGCCACCCUGGAUGCAAAGUCCCCGGGUGCUGCUUUUAUUUCUAAGCUGAGCUCUUGAACCAAAAUGCUUUAAAGCAAUGAGGGGCGGGGUGGGGGGAAAGAAAUUAGGAAGAAAGCCCUUCUGCUAAUCCAACUCAUCAUUAAAAAUAACCCAGUGGCAAGGCAGGGAUGGCACUCCUGAGACACUUGAGAUGGUACAGAUAUGCUGGAGAGACGGCUUUCCUGUAGUUAAAAAGCAAUAUGUAAUUCCCAGAAAGUGAGUGCAGCUUGAGCUGAGCGACUCUGCUCCCGGCCCCGGGCAGAGAAGGGGCUCCCGGGGUGUCUGCAGGCGGCCGGCUCAGAGGUGAAGGAGGAAUGGACCCAAUAAUAUAAACUCUGCUCCGGGAUUUUAUUUUUUUUUUUUUAUUUUUUUUUUUUUACAGUAAUGAAAUUAAAAGGAAAGGGAGGGGACAGAUCUUUUCAUUUUUUUGGUCAUUUCUCUGCAGCGUGUGAUGCUUUCGCUUUAGCUGGAGCGUGUGUCUGGCCGAGCCCGGCGCCUGCGGGACGUUCGGGAGCAGCGAGAGCGCUGCCGCUUGGGUAUUUUUUUUUGGUGGAGACCCGAGGUCGAGCACGGCUUCUGUUCAAGUAGCACUUAUACGGGGGAGAUUUCUCGCUCUGCCUGGCCGCUGCUGAGCGAGGGUGUGCAUCAGAGUUUCCAUUCAAACUCCCCUCAUUAUGGGGAUUUAGAGAAAGGCCACCAGCAUCCCCUUCGGGCUGGGAACUGGGCAGCCUGGGUGCCUUUGCAGUGUUUUUGGCCCCUCUCCUCUGGUUUUGUACCUUCUCUUCCCCCCAGUCCAUCACCUGGGGCCUGGCUGCGGUUCCCCAGGGGGUCCUGCCACCCGCCCCCACCUCCCACCGCUUCCUUCUGUCCCCCGAAAAGCAGCAGCCAUCCCCAUGGCACCUUGCUGGGGGUUUCGGGGUGCUGGGGAUGGGGUCAUUUCUCUUCCCCCAUCAACCAGCGGGGUCAGGGCAGAGCGAGGCCUUGUCACCUUGUCACCCUCUUCCCUUGCCUGUCCCUGCUCUGGGGACCAGCUUGGCAGCUGGUGGCAGCAGUGGCGGCUGCCAGGUGGCCAAGGCAGUGAUGCCCCGGCGGGGCGGCCUCCCUCACCUCAGCCAGCUGAGUAUGAACGACUUUGCUUUGGGGGUGAAGGCAGCCCUGUGGUGCAGAAGGGGGGCUGCUGGGGGGCUGUGAAGCUGCUGGCAGCCCCCAUAUUGGCUGCGGGAUGCUCCCCACCAGCCUCGGCCUCGGGGCAGCUCCCGCGCACCCACAAGGUUCCCGCACGGCAUGUGGAGGGGCAGCAGCUCAGCCUCACCGUUUGUGCUGCCAUAACCCUGCUGCGGGGGGCCAGCCCUACACAGCCCCCUCUCAAAAACUCCCCCCCACCCUGCAGAGACCCCCCCACACACCCAGGCAGGGGUUUUAACCCACAUGUGCUGCCCUGCAAAGCAGUGGUGAUGCCGGGACGGGAAUGAUGCUGCUGGGGAACGGUCCCCUCGGAGCUGGCAGGAGUGUUUCUGGGCGCACCAGAGCGGCUCUGAGGAGUGGGAGCAGGGGCAGGAGCAGUGCUGGGCAUCACUACAGGUGCCUCGGAUCCCCCUGAUGGGGAUCCAGCUCCAGCCUCUCCAUUCCUCCCCCCAGCAAAGCUCCUCAGAUGAAAAGCACCCCCUCUGCCCGCAUGUUGGCAUGCAGGGCACAAAGCAAUGUGACAUUAUUUAGCCCCCUGUGAGAGCUGCAGUUUGAUGUUGAAGGCCCUCAGAGCUGGAGGUGCUGCUCAGUGGUGACAGGAGACCCCAGGGUUUGGGUCAUGCCCCCCAGGGGACGCAGUGAGUUUUUAAGUGGUGUCGAGGCUGGUGAGUAUUUUUCCCAGGUGAACUGCACCUCUGGAAAGAACUCUCUCAUCUUUUACAAAAUACUACUUAAAUAAACAGUGCCCCGCUAUAAUUUUUUUCUUUAGAAAUUAACUCCUUCAGGCCAUGAGGGUUACCCAUCCCCAUGCAAAACAGCUACCAGGACUUUUAAAGAAAACAAAAAAAAUCAUGUAUCUGGGAAAGAAAAGUUUAGCCUGACAGAAGAGAGCCCAUAAAUCUCUCCCCUUCCCCGUGGCAGCCGAGGCCGGGUUGCGGGAGCAGCCUGCCCAUUUCAAAGCCGAGUGCCGCUGCACGAAUGGUACUUAAAAGGAGUUUUGUGCAUAUUAAUGCGUGUGCGCUGAGGCCAGGCUGCACGCUGCACGGGGACAGCCUAUUCCCUGCCUGAAUUGAACUAUCUUGUUUUCUAAUCUAACCUACUUUUUUUCUUUUUUUCUUUUUUUUCUUUUUGUCAGAGGUUGGUGCUUUGCAGGAACCUGUUCUCAGUGCAAUCUCAGAGCUUUUAGUGGGUGUCUGAUUUCUGUAACACGUUUUGGUUUCCAGUAUGAAUGUAACGUGCAUAGAAUACCAUGACACUGCUCUAGGUGUAUGCGAUCUUAUCUACCUGACAUUUAGGGUUUUUUUAACCGUCCAUUUCACCUGAUUUGCAUAAAAAUCACGUGGGUUUUCUUUUUUUUUUUCCUCUUUUUUUUUCAUGCAUCAUCAUAACAAACUACUCAGGUUUACCAGGCUGUUUUCUGCCUGUCAGCAUGAAUGCAGGGCCCAUCUCUCUCCCCCUUCUUCCUCCGUGAUGGAGGUUGGGGAUGUUGAAGGCAGCGCUUGGAGGGGACCUGUGAUCCCAGAUGGCCACUGAAAUCCUUAAUAAGCAAACGUGUAUGGUUUAACUUCCAAGAAAACAAAGCAGCUGAGCAUGCAUCCCAUCCGGUUCUUGUUAAUUUAAAUAGACGAGACGUCUUUUUAUUGAUAAGGAAACUCCUCCGGAACAGCCCCUCAGAUCCCAGAAGGCUCCCCCUGCCGCGGACGUCCUCAUUACAAAACAAGGCCGCAAUUAAAAUAAACUCCAAGAGCUAAACAAACUGCUGCCUCUCGCUGGUCAUGUGUUAGCUUUAGCUUUUAACGCAGAACAAAAUGUUUUCCUGGGUAUGGGAAGAGGCAUGGGCUGCGGCCGGGAGGAGAAGAGGGAGCAGCAGCCGGGCGUGUGGAAGUGGCAGGGAGUGGAGGACGGCGAUGCUCAUCGGGGUUCCUUUUUCUUGCUUUCUUCUUUUUUAAAAAAAAUAAUAAAAAUUGUUUUAUUCUUACUUUUUUUUCUUUCUUUCUUUUUUUUUUUUCUUUUUUUUUUUUUUUUUCUGUUUUAAUUGGAGUGUUUGUAAUCUGGCUCAGUCCUUAAUGCAAGGGAAAGGACUGGAAGUGGAAAAACUUGAAUGUCGUGGUAGAGCCUGGCUGUUCCAGCACGCCCUGGGCACACCUGGCCGUACCUCGUCCCCUCCCAGCCCAGCUCCCAGUCAGCCCACUGACAGCUUGCCCAUCUGCAAGCCACUGGCCCAAUUUUUGUUGCUCCCAUCGCACCUCAUGCAGAGUAGGUACCACUCAGCAUCCACCAGCAUCCAGAGCUGGACCAGUGCGGUGUGGGCGGGGAGGUACGGGGCACCUCAGAGGUCAGGAGCAGGGAGAUGGAGAGAUGCAUGGGGGUAUGGAGAGAUGGACAAGGGGACUGAGCAACAGCCAGAGGUUGCUGAGGGGUGUGUGGCCAUCCAUCCCCCAGCGCCCCCGCACAACGGUGUGGUUCCCCAUACCUCAUGAGAGCAUGUUGCUGCCUCCAUGCCUCGUGCAGGCACCUCAUUUGGAGUAAUGAAUUGCACUCAGACCAAUAUCCCGCGACAAGAACUGCUCUGAUAAAGGAGGGCUGUAUGGUCCGGCCAUGCUCAGAUAAAAUCCAAGGAUGAUAUUUCUGUGAAAUCACCCAAAUAACUGGCACAUCUGCCUGGCUCCCACUGCCAGGAGUGAGUGCAGACUUGUCUGUCCAAAUUUACUUUCCUCUCAUACAGGCAAAGGAGGGAGAUACCUGUCUGCCUGCCUGAUCUCCCAGACACUGGCUGUGAAUAAAUAUCAUUUACGGACAUGCAUAAAGACCGUCCCUGUCCCACUGAGCACCAACAGCCCCCUGCCAUCUCUGCCUCGUCUUUGAUUUAAAAGGGAAACUUCAUCCUGAGGUUUUCUAGCCACAGAUAAUUUGUUCUGACCCCUCCUUGGUCCCAAUCAAUUUUUAACUAAUUGUGGGCCAAAGCCUGGCAGUGUUUCGAAGGGUCCAUGCUGGGCAAGGAGCCUCCUGGCAGGGCACAUGGUGAGGGACCCUUCACCCAGCUGGUGUCCCCAGCUUGUCCCCAAAUCUUGUCAUCCGGGCACCCAUGAACAUACGAAGCAUCUGACCCAUGGAAGCUGAGAACCCCUGGCCCAUGGCUGAGCAACACCGCUGAUCUCUUUACUUUUCAGCACGUUUGUCAACUUUCAGCUGUCAAGAUUAAAAAAAAACAUCACUUACCCUUACAGAUACUUUCCUGAUAAGGAUUUACACUGAGGUAACCUAAUGCAAAAGUGGUUGCUUUGUCAGGAGAAAUAAAAUAAUAAAGGCAGCACUUGCUUUGGAUGGUUAAUAGUGUUAUUUAUUACUCUUGUGCUCAUGCCUCGGAGAAUCUUGUGAAUCCCUGAUAUUAAAAAGCAGACGAGAGCCUCAGAAGGAGGACGAUGCCUCAAACUUUUACAAGCACAAGCACACUUAAAUUAAUAUAGGGAUUUGCAUUGAUCCAAAUAAUUUUGCAACAGGCCUCUAAAGUUCAGGCUAAACUAGCCUGUUAUUUUGUCCUUUUUUUUUCUUCUUUUAAUAACUCCUCAGGCGCCUCAGCCAGUAAAGUGCUACGUGAAUUUCAAUUUCUCUCUUCAAAUAAAACAUCAACAUAAUUUUUGUAUUCUUUAAAACGAUCUGUGCAAUUUUGCUCACUGAAACCUUUUGAUUUAGACUUAAAGGUUUUAGUGACUGGAUGGGAGAGUAUCUGAAAGUAAUGAUGAAAAUGUUAAUUAUUUGUUUUACUGCCUCCUGAAAUUCUUUUAUUUCUCUGUACUAUCUCUAAAAGCAUGUCUGGCAAUAACAAGCUGUCUCUGAAAAUAAUUCAAUUAAAGGUAUUGCCAACAGAAUAGUUCAUAUUUUUUUAUACCACUAGUUAGAGUGUUAAAUAAUAUAUUAGUAGAUUUAUAGACUACAUUUAGGUAUGACUAUUAAUAGCUACAGUAAAAACCAGAAUAUUCAUAUAAAAAGUGUGGGGGGUAAGUUUGGUUUCUGGGUUUUAAUUUUUUUUUCUCCUCACUCUUCUUAUUUGAGUUUCAGUUUUAGGACUUAAAAAGAAUUAGAUUUUCUCAUCUUUUUCUGUUACUCCCAUAUGACAAGAAUAAGUCAGCUACUUUUUGAGCCUAAAAUUCCCUGUGGGAUUUCUCCUUGUUUUAAAUAAUUAAUAUUAAAGGAGUAAGAAAGAAGCAGGCAGAUUCUACAGGAUGGACAUUAAUCGAAUGGGAUAUUUAUUUGCAUAGGUACAUGGCAUAUACAAAGGAUCGAACCCAAAGCUGUAUGAAAUUGCCAGUUAUUCCUUUACAGUGUUACAAAUAGAUUAUUACCCUUAAGCAUGUAACUCUUAAUGUCCUAAAAAAAGUUUAACUCCAGGAUUAUUUUUAUUUAAUCUGGUAAAUGACAAAUAUAUUUUUAGUUUCUAUAAAGCAGAAAUAAAACAUCUCCCAGGAGCUGGAAACUAAACUUAACUGCUCCCCCCCACCUCUUCUUUUUAUUUUAUGGACAUUUAUUUCCUUUUUUUUUUUGUUGUUCCUUUUAUUUUUUCUUUCCAAAGUCUCAUUAGCUCUUCUGAAUUUUGCCAUUUAUUUCUCCUUCCUUCUCCCUCAAGAAAAACACUUUUCAUCAGAAAACACGAUAUUCUUUUCUUCUGAGCCUCCCGGCAAAUUACCUCGCUCUCUCCAGACGAGUUUCUAGGAUCAACAAGUUAACCUUCAGAAAGAUUACAAAGGUACAAGUGGGCUGCUUAAGAGGUGAAUCAUUAAACAUAAGGUGAAGUAUACGGCUGCAGAGGGUUUCAAUUAAAGUGACAGUUCAGGCAGCCUUUGCCUGCCCGGGAAAGGUUUGUGUUUAUCGUCAGCACCGCGUUGGGAGCAGCAUCCAUCCCGGGCAGGGAGCGUUGGUUCCCCACGGCCGCGUCCUGCAUUGCCAGGGCUGCUGCUGCUGCUGCCCUCCCUCCUGCAAACAGCUCCGGCGGGUUCAGCCUGAUAAAUUCGACCGUGACAGCAGUAAAAUACGGGAAAGGGGCCAGAUCUCCUUUCUGUCCCACCCAGGCUGGAGUGAAGGAGCCCGUCUAGGACGUGCCGUCCCAGAGGCUUCACCCAACGCUCCUCGUUACCCCAGCCGCAGAGAGAGCAGGAUCAGGCCCACAACCUUCCCCACUGCUUCCCUGAAUCCUGUUUGCUUCUACUUUUUUAAAAAAAUUAUUUUUUAAAGUAGUUUUGUUUUAAUAUGACAGCAUAUUUAAUAAGCAGCCCCGGGCUGGAGGGAGAAGUGCGAGAUCCUUGCCGAGCCGUAGAAAUCCUGCGCUCGCGCUGCCUCGUCCCCAUAGCUGCUCGGAGUGGGGCCGGCACCUCGGCACUCCUGACACCCUCACCAAAUUUCCCGUGGGUGCCCCGGGGACCCUCUACCCCCAUGCAGAGGCUACAUCUAUGCACAGAGGGCAACAUAUGGACGACCAGUCCCCAGGCAGCUGCUGCUGCUCCGUCUGCCCUGCACGGAGGUCCCGCAUGCUUGGAAGGGGUGAUGUCUUGAAAUGUCUCAAUCGCAUUGCUCCAGCCCGACCUGGCAGAUAAGGGACAGCUUGUGCAUGGCUGGGACAGGGUUGAGGCAGCGAGCAAGUCCAGCUGGCAGGAAGAACAUCGCCCGCACACAAGGGGACAGAUCUGUCUACUGCAGCAAUCACGAGACCAAGAAAUGCUUUUUCUUCAGAAGAACUUGUUGAUUUUAAAAAUAAAGCAGCCGCGGCCUAUGCUCCCAGGAAUGUCUGGGAUCAGGAAAAUGGAAAGACAUUUUUUCCGUUCCUAGUGCAAUUUGCACUGUAAAACCUAAACAGUGUUUGUCUUUCUGGACUUUCCCAGUUCCACACUUCUAUGGCAUUUAUCAACACAGUGUUUUGGUGAGUGACCUUCCUGUGGAUCAUGGGCAUGGCUGAAGUGAGGCAGUGAUAGUGCCAAAUUCCUGAUAUCCAACAGAUUCCCCCUUCCUACCUGGAGCAGACAAAUGAAUCUGGGGAGUGCUCUGCUCAUGGAGGAAACGGCCUGAUCUGAAGGUAUCUUUGGAUCAAACUAAGCCCAAACCUGUAAAAACUUGUGCACCUGCUCAGCUCUGAGAGCAUGAGUAAUCACAGAGACUGAACAUAUUAUUUCUAUCAUUUUUUUUCAUACAGACUAUUUCUGUGUCUCUCUUCUCCUAUUAUCUCAGUGUCUCGUAAACAUUAAUGAAUGGUUCUCAGGUCCCAGCACACUGCUUCAUUGUUUGGCUUGCAGGUCACAGAGAAGGAUAAAAGAGAUGGGAAAAAAUACAGGGUUGCAUUUUAAAAUGUCUGAUUUUAUUACCAUUUCUUUGCCUAGCUUCUGGAGCAUAGGACUAAGGGGGUGGGGGUUCCCCAGCCUUCAGAUUGGGGACUGGCCUCAUGUACUCUGCCUUUGUGGGAGGGAGGGUGACCCCCACAAACUCAGACAGGAGCUGGAGGAGAUUUCUGUGUGACACCACAUUAGUGGAAAACCUUGCCAAAAUGCAUCAUGCAAAGCAUGGCUCGGAGAUGUAUCCUCAGCAGUGAGACGCUGAGUGCAGAUGUCUGAGUUAAUUCACACAAUGGCAAAGGGCUGGGAGAUGUUCGCAAUUCUAAGGCUCUGAGCUGGGCAUGGGUGAAAUUCUUUCACCUGAAACUUCCCUUGUGUGAAAAAUGCAAAUUUGUUGACAAAUAGUUUUGAGCAUUAGUGCUGGUUGUACUAAUUUUUUUUUGUCCUGAGAAAAGAAUUCCAAGAAAGUACAUUUGCAAUGUUUAUUUCAGUUUGAAAUUCCCCUCCAUUUUACUUGUAAAUUGCUCCAAAUCAAAGUGCAGCAUUUUCUCCUCACCUUUCCCAUUUGCUGUAAUUUAAAUAAAUAGUCUCAGUCACAA